UACAGAGGGGGCAAGCGUUGUUCGGAAUUACUGGGCGUAAAGGGCGCGUAGGCGGCCUUCUAAGUCGAACGUGAAAUCCCCGGGCUCAACCCGGGAACUGCGUCCGAUACUGGAAGGCUUGAAUCCGGGAGAGGGAUGUGGAAUUCCAGGUGUAGCGGUGAAAUGCGUAGAUAUCUGGAGGAACACCGGUGGCGAAAGCGGCUCACUGGACCGUCACUGACGCUGAGGUGCGAAAGCUAGGGUAGCAAACGGG
rnacentral:rRNA from 1 species